rnacentral:rRNA from 1 species
UGGCUCAGGAUGAACCUAGCGACAGGCCUAACACAUGCAAGUCGAGGGGUAACAUUGUAGCUUGCCACAGAUGACGACCGGCGCACGGGUGAGUAACGCGUAUGCAACCUGCCUAUAACAGGGGGAUAGCUUCCGGAAACGGGGAUUAAUACCGCGUAAGACUACGGGAAAGCAUUUUUCAGUAGUAAAAAUUCCGAUGGUUAUAGAUGGGCAUGCGUGACAUUAGAUUGUUGGUGAGGUAACGGCUCACCAAGUCUACGAUGUCUAGGGGUUCUGAGAGGAAGGUCCCCCACACUGGUACUGAGACACGGACCAGACUCCUACGGGAGGCAGCAGUGAGGAAUAUUGGUCAAUGGACGCAAGUCUGAACCAGCCAUGUCGCGUGCAGGAUGACUGCCCUAUGGGUUGUAAACUGCUUUUGUACGGGAAGAAAACUACCUACGUGUAGGUAAUUGCCGGUACCGUACGAAUAAGGAUCGGCUAACUCCGUGCCAGCAGCCGCGGUAAUACGGAGGAUCCGAGCGUUAUCCGGAUUUAUUGGGUUUAAAGGGCGCGUAGGCGGAAGAUUAAGUCAGUGGUGAAAGUUUGCGGCUCAACCGUAAAAUUGCCAUUGAUACUGGUUUUCUUGAGUACAUUUGAGGUAGGCGGAAUGUAGUAUGUAGCGGUGAAAUGCAUAGAUAUACUACAGAACACCGAUUGCGAAGGCAGCUUACUAAACUGUAACUGACGCUGAGGCACGAAAGCGUGGGUAUCAAACAGGAUUAGAUACCCUGGUAGUCCACGCUGUAAACGAUGAUCACUCGUUGUUUGCGAUACAUUGCAAGUGACCAAGAGAAAUCGAUAAGUGACCCACCUGGGGAGUACGGCGGCAACGCUGAAACUCAAAGGAAUUGACGGGGGCCCGCACAAGCGGAGGAACAUGUGGUUUAAUUCGAUGAUACGCGAGGAACCUUACCUGGGUUUAAAUGGGGAGUGACAGGCUUAGAAAUAGGCUUUUCUUCGGACACUCUUCAAGGUGCUGCAUGGCUGCCGUCAGCUCGUGCCGUGAGGUGUCGGGUUAAGUCCCAUAACGAGCGCAACCCACGUCGUUAGUUGCCAUCAGGUCAUGCUGGGCACUCUAACGAGACUGCCGGAAAACCGCGAGGAAGGUGUGGAUGACGUCAAAUCAGCACGGCCCUUACAUCCAGGGCUACACACGUGUUACAAUGGUCGGUACAAAGGGCAGCUACCUGGUGACAGGAUGCUAAUCUCGAAAACCGAUCCCAGUUCGGAUCGAAGUCUGCAACCCGACUUCGUGAAGCUGGAUUCGCUAGUAAUCGCGCAUCAGCCAUGGCGCGGUGAAUACGUUCCCGGGCCUUGUACACACCGCCCGUCAAACCAUGGAAGCCGGGGGUACCUGAAGUCUGUAACCGUAAGGAGCGGCCUAGGGUAAAUCUGGUAACUAGGGUUAAGUCGAACAAGGUA